rnacentral:rRNA from 1 species
GCCAGAACACAGGUGCUGCAUGGCUGUCGUCAGCUCGUGUCGUGAGAUGUUGGGUUAAGUCCGCAACGAGCGCAACCCUUGCCAUUAAUUGCCAUCAUUUAGUUGGGCACUUUAAUGGGACUGCCGGUGACAAACCGGAGGAAGGUGGGGAUGACGUCAAGUCCUCAUGGCCCUUAUGGGUAGGGCUUCACACGUCAUACAAUGGUCGGUGCAGAGGGUUGCCAAGCCGCGAGGUGGAGCUAAUCUCUUAAAGCCGAUCGUAGUCCGGAUCGUAGUCCGCAACUCGACUACGUGAAGUCGGAAUCGCUAGUAAUCGCGGAUCAGCAUGUCGCGGUGAAUACGUUCCCGGGUCUU